rnacentral:rRNA from 1 species
CAUCCAAGGAAGGCAGCAGGCGCGCAAAUUACCCAAAUCCCAACUCGGGGAGGUAGUGACAAGAAAUAACGAUGCUCCGGCCUCACGGUCGGGUAAUCGGAAUGAGAACAAUUUAAAUCCCUUAUCGAGGAUCAAUUGGAGGGCAAGUCUGGUGCCAGCAGCCGCGGUAAUUCCAGCUCCAAUAGCGUAUAUUUAAGUUGCUGCGGUUAAAAAGCUCGUAGUCGGAUUUCGGGUGGCGCCUACCGGUCCGCCAUUGGUGAGUACUGGUAGGUACCACCUUUCUGCCGAGGACGGGGUACUGGGCUUAGUUGUCUGGGCCUCGGAUUCGGCGAUGUCACUUUGAGUAAAUUAGGGUGUUCAAAGCAGGCUUAUGCUCUGUAUACACUAGCAUGGGAAGACACGAUAGGACUUCGGUUUAUCUUGUCGGUCUGUAGAUCGGAGUAAUGAUUAAGAGGGACAGUCGGGGGCAUUCGUAUUUCGUAGUCAGAGGUGAAAUUCUUGGAUUUACGGAAGACGAACUUCUGCGAAAGCAUUUGCCAAGGAUGUUUUCAUUGAUCAAGAACGAAAGUC